UGCAGUUCUAGAUGAAGCCGAAGUGAAAAACCUCAAAUAGUGUUUCAAACCCUAUUCCAUAGAAAAAAAAGGAUGCAUCCUUAGGCUGAGCCGGUGAGCUACUUUUGCGGUGAUUGUGGGAUGGAGAACACACAUAAAUCCGGUGACAUCAUCCAGUGCCGUGAGUACGGUUAUCACAUCCUUUACAAGAAGCGCACCCGUUGCAUUGUCCAGUAUGAGACUCGGUGAAAAAACCAAACAAAAUUGGGCUCCGUGUUGGCUUGCUCAUCUGUUUUAUACUUUCAUGUCUAUAUAAAUUUAAGUGAGGUCUUUAGAAUGGUAUCAUGUUUCUUUGUAUAAUAUUGUCAAUAAUGUCAAUAAUGUCGCAUAAAUCUUCAUCUUUA